UCUUAUGGAUGAGCAAAGAAAGUAGUUUCUUGAGAUGGAAUUUACUCUUGGUCAAGAUGCUGUGAA
rnacentral:pre_miRNA from 5 species